rnacentral:lncRNA from 1 species
AAUUACUGUGCAUUUUUAAAAUUUUAAAAGUUUAUUGUAAUUUAUUUUUGGAUUCGAGAAAAUAUAUUUAAAAAAUAAUGUUAAAGAAUAAUAUCGAGUGGGAAAUUUUUUAGCUAAAUUAAAAAUAAAAUCAUUUAUCAGAUAAAUGCAUUUUAAUAUUCAAUUUUUUGUUAUUUAUUAUUUCGUUAUUUUCCUUAAAGAACAUAAAGAGAGAGCGCAUGCGUUGUUUCUAAUUACGUCAUGUGACCGACUCUGUUCGGCACGUGGACGACCGUUGCUAUGGCAAUGUGUGCCUUUCGAGUUCAUGUGGAAGGAAAACAAUUUGUAUUACGUCACAGAUCUUCUAUUUGUUAUUUUAUUUCCUUAUUUUCAAUGCGAUAUUUCCUCGCGUCUGAAAUAAAUCUAAUUUGAAAUAUGCCCAAUUGUAAUCUUUAGAAUUUUUCACAGUUUAUAUUUUAAAAUAUAUUUUUUCCAAUAUAAAUAUAAUAAUUCUUUAAAAUACUGUACUAACAAGUAACUGGAACAUCUGAUAAUUCAUGCAGCAAGAAAUGUUAAAUGAAAGUAGGGCUUUUGUUCAUUUUUAGAUCGUUCCUCCAUAAAGAUUAGAUCGGAAGAGCGUC